rnacentral:rRNA from 1 species
UGGGGAAUUUUGGACAAUGGGCGCAAGCCUGAUCCAGCCAUGCCGCGUGCGGGAAGAAGGCCUUCGGGUUGUAAACCGCUUUUGUCAGGGAAGAAACGCUCUGGGCUAAUACCCUGGGGUAAUGACGGUACCUGAAGAAUAAGCACCGGCUAACUACGUGCCAGCAGCCGCGGUAAUACGUAGGGUGCAAGCGUUAAUCGGAAUUACUGGGCGUAAAGCGUGCGCAGGCGGUUUUGUAAGUCUGAUGUGAAAUCCCCGGGCUCAACCUGGGAAUUGCAUUGGAGACUGCAAGGCUAGAAUCUGGCAGAGGGGGGUAGAAUUCCACGUGUAGCAGUGAAAUGCGUAGAUAUGUGGAGGAACACCGAUGGCGAAGGCAGCCCCCUGGGUCAAGAUUGACGCUCAUGCACGAAAGCGUGGGGAGCAAACAGGAUUAGAUACCCAGGUAGUCCCUGAGCGGGCUGGCAAGGCGCAU